rnacentral:rRNA from 1 species
CGAUCAUGUUUGUCGUGUGCCCGAGGAUGGGGCUGCGGCUGAGCAGGCAGUUGGCGAGGUAACGGCUCACCAAACCUUUGACCAGUACGGGCCAUGAAAGUGGUAGCCCGGAGAUGGGCACUGAGACAGGGGCCCAGGCCCUACGGGGCGCAGCAGGCGCGAAAACUCCACAAUGUACGGAAGUACGAUGGGGUUAUCUCGAGUGCAGUCCGAUAAGGGCUGCUUUUCCAUAGAGUAAUAUCCUGUGGGAAUAAGAGGGGGGCAAGACUGGUGUCAGCCGCCGCGGUAACACCAGCCCCUCGAGUGGUGGGGACUAUUAUUUGGCCUAAAGCGUCCGUAGCUGGCUGUAUCCGUCCCCCGUUAAAUCCAGCGUCCUAAGCGUUGGACCGCGGGUGAUACCAUACAGCUAGAGGGUGGGACAGGUGAGCGGUAUUUCUGGGGUAGGGGCGAAAUCCUUUGAUCCCAGGAGGACCACCAGUGGCGAAGGCUGCUCACUAGAACACGCCUGACGGUCAGGGACGAAAGCUGGGGCAGCGAACCGGAUUAGAUACCCGGGUAGUCCCAGCUGUAAACGAUGCUAGCUAGGUGUUGGGUCGGCCACGUGCCGCCCCAGUGCCGCAGGGAAGCCGUUAAGCUAGCCGCCUGGGGAGUACGGCCGCAAGGCUG